UACGUAGGGACCAAGCGUUGUUCGGAUUUACUGGGCGUAAAGGGCGCGUAGGCGGCGUGGUAAGUCACUUGUGAAAUCUCUGAGCUUAACUCAGAACGGCCAAGUGAUACUGCUGUGCUAGAGUGCAGAAGGGGCAAUCGGAAUUCUUGGUGUAGCGGUGAAAUGCGUAGAUAUCAAGAGGAACACCUGAGGUGAAGGCGGGUUGCUGGGCUGACACUGACGCUGAGGCGCGAAAGCCAGGGGAGCAAACGGG
rnacentral:rRNA from 1 species